AGAGUUUGAUCAUGGCUCAGGAUGAACGCUAGCGAUAGGCUUAACACAUGCAAGUCGAGGGGUAACAUAUAGAAAGCUUGCUUUUUAUGAUGACGACCGGCGGAUGGGUGAGUAACGCGUAUGCAACUUGCCUCCAAGAGUGGGAUAACCCGGAGAAAUCCGGACUAAUACCGCAUAUGCUCACGAUGCUGCAUAGCAUAGUGAGGAAAUGAAUUUUGCUUGGAGAUAGGCAUGCGUUCCAUUAGUUAGUUGGUGAGGUAACGGCUCACCAAGACGUCGAUGGAUAGGGGCGCUGAGAGGCGUAUCCCCCACACUGGGACUGAGACACGGCCCAGACUCCUACGGGAGGCAGCAGUGAGGAAAUAGUGUUCAAUGGGAGGCAACUCUGAACCUGCCAAGUCGCGGGUGAAGGAAGACUGCCCUAUGGGCUGUAAACUUCUUUAGUAGGUGAGUAGAGAUAGGUACGUGUACCUAUAGGCAAGUAACCUAAGAAUAAGUAUCGGCUAACUCCGUGCCAGCAGCCGCGGUAAUACGGGGGAUACGAGCGUUAUCCGGAUUUAUUGGGUUUAAAGGGUGCGUAGGUGGCUGUUUAAGUUGAUGGUGAAAAGCUGUGGCUCAACCACGGUCUUGCCUUCAAAACUGGAUAGCUUGAGUGUAGAUGAUGUAGGCGGAACGCGUAGUGUAGCGGUGAAAUGCAUAGAUAUUACGCAGA
rnacentral:rRNA from 1 species